rnacentral:rRNA from 1 species
AUUGAACGCUGGCGGCAGGCCUAACACAUGCAAGUCGAGCGGUAACACAGGGAGCUUGCUCCUGGGUGACGAGCGGCGGACGGGUGAGUAAUGUCUGGGAAACUGCCUGAUGGAGGGGGAUAACUACUGGAAACGGUAGCUAAUACCGCAUAACGUCGCAAGACCAAAGAGGGGGACCUUCGGGCCUCUUGCCAUCAGAUGUGCCCAGAUGGGAUUAGCUAGUAGGUGGGGUAAUGNNUCNCCUAGGCGACGAUCCCUAGCUGGUCUGAGAGGAUGACCAGCCACACUGGAACUGANACACGGUCCAGACUCCUACGG